UUUUAAUGCAACCAUGAGUCAUGCACUCAUGCCUAACUUGUGAUCGUUUGUCUUAUUUAAAAUUUUAUUAUAAUUAGUAUUUUUAUGUUAUGAGAUGAUAAAACAUAAAUAAUACUUUAUACGUGACUUAUGUUUUUAAUUUUUUUUAAAUAAGAUGUACGAUCAAAGUUGGACACGAAAAAUUAUGGCUGCAAUUAAA
rfam:Oryza meridionalis cultivar OR44 (W2112) chromosome 1, whole genome shotgun sequence.